rnacentral:misc_RNA from 1 species
CUGAAUUUGAAAGGAUGGGCCAAACGCAUUACCAUAUGAAAAUUUUAAUUUGGUAGCAAAUUUUCCUUUCAAUAGUAAAAAUAUACAACCUAAUUCCUAUACCAAAAAUUUUCAGUGCAUUUCUUGAACCUUCAAAAGGAGUUUCUUAUACUGCGUUUUUCCAUUAUAUAACUGGUCAGUGGUAACAAGCGAUAAUAAACUUGCUUUGCUUGUUGGUUCAUUUCAGGAAAAUUGAACAUGCUAUAUCAACAAUCUUCCUUCCCUACAUAUACAGCAGCAGCGGGCACUUUUGUCUUAUCACAUAUGUAAUGCAACAUUGUGCUCACAAAAUGUACUGGUAAAACAAGAUUCCCGGAUUGAGCAACUGAUGUAUGUAUUUUCUAAAUUAUCCAGCUACACAUUGUCCAGCCAACUUUCUCAGUUCAAGCCAUAAAUAAAGCCAGAAACCAUGCAAGAUGUAUAGGGACAAUCAACCACCAAAAAAUCUGUGAACAGUAUCAGGAUGCUUGCCUCUUUAUUCUGAUGGUAGAAGUGCAAUCUCAAUUUCUUGGAGUGAUUUUCCUUUAGUUUCCAACACAUUCUUCUUCACAAAAAUCACUGCUAGCAUACAAAAGCUAGCAAAUACUGCAUACAAGACUUGUGGCCCAACUUGCUCCAGUAAUCGCAGAAACAGUAGGCCAACAAAGAAGUUUAUAACCUGUUAGACAUGCGCCAGGUUUUAUCAACAAUAUAUCAGUGGUAGUUCUUUAAGUUUGACAGGAUAAAAACUUCGUGGGAAGGCAAAUCCUAAAAAUGUAGACCAUGUAUGCAUGUUAGUCGGCACAACACAAAUUAACUUAAGCUGGACCACAAAAUUGUAAAGAACAGACUUAUUCAAUAAAUUAAAUUCACAAAUCAAAAAUAAAAAUUCCGAGAUAAUGUUCAAUGUUAUAGAUCAAACACACUGUAUGGAGUUUUAACCAUUUGUAUAAAUGGCAGUUGUGUCACUGCUACACUUUCGUACAUCUGGUUGGGAUAUUGGAUAGUUGCACUUCAUAUCACUAAUGAUCCACAUUGUGGACGAUGGAUCUAAAAUACAAUUCAUAACAGGGAUAGCAAAUUAUGCAAACUUUGAUACAAAAAGUAAUAACUGAGUAGUAAUAUCUAAGUCUGAUCUAAAGUUAACUAGAGUUGUAAAACAGAAUUUCCCGUGUUUAAAUUUUGCACACCCACAAUUGAAAGGAAGGGGAAAAGUGGAAAACCUAUCUGCUGAUAAAAGUCACAAAACCAUAACCAGAAAACCAGAAUAAGACAAUUACCCAAUGCACGGCCAUGCAAACUGCCAUUCCCUUUGCCCUAAUUCGACCUGGAAAUAUUUCUGACAGAAGUAGACUAGGGACAGGACCAGCACCAAGAGCAAAUGUCAAGACAAACCUGUUUUAUGUUUCAAAUAACAGAUAUUAAAGUGCAGGCCAGGAAGAAAAAGAGAAUAUAUUCCAUUGACUAAAGCAUUUUAGGCAUACAACUCUGGUUAGCCAAGUUUUCUAAUCAAUUUUAGAACGAUGCCUUGUUCUAAUGGAUUCAAUUUCAAUCAUACGAUUCUCAUUAACUCAUGAUACCAAAGAGAUAAUGAACCAUCUCAAAGUAAUGAUCAAACUCUCAUGAGCUUGGCUGCUCAAUUGGUUUAUUUAGGUUCAUAUCAUCUUUUCUGCACAAGUUAUGGUGGAUUGACAACUUACAUUAGCAUGCCUCCAACAGAGAGAUAUAAUGCAGCAGCGCUUGGCACAAACGAACUAGGUGCAAUAGCUUGAAGACCCAUUGACACUGCCAUUCCAGAAAAACUCCCUAUGAGAAGCACCUUUCUUCCCAGUUUAUCCAUCAAAAGCGUUGCAAUUACUGAACCUAAUAAGUUGCAAAUUCCAACAGAUACAUUUGCAAUUUUGGAAGGAACACCAGCGCUUUUAAAGACAGUUGAUGAGAAAUAGAAUAUGGCAUUUAUGCCAGAUAGCUGUUGUAAGACAAAAAGUGCAGACCCAAUGAAAACCACUUUAAAAUGGCGACCAUAAAUCAACUCUGAUAUCUUUACUUUUUCUGCAUCAUCUCCUCGGCCAGAUCUUGACAAUUCAGCCAUUGCAGAUUUGACAUGCGAUGCUCCUAAAAGCUUCUCAAACUCAGUCUCAGCUUCAGCACCUCUUCCCCUCUUGAGGCAUUUCCAGAAAAAUAUGUUAGCAUCACUUAAAUAAACAAGGUUUCAUCACAUCAGUGGUCAGAUGAACCAUACUAAAUAAAACUGUCCAGCUGGACUGUUCCAACCGCUGGUCUAUUACAGGCUUUCCAACAAUGUUGAUGACACCAAAAAUAUUAUUCAAAAACAUUCUAGUUUAAAGUGACUUCUGAAUGUGUUGAACCAAAAAAAAGGAACUAGAAGGGGAAAUCCGGCUUCAUAUGCAUUCUACACAUGCUAUGAUCGUUUACACAAGCACUGAGAAGCAAAAAUAUUAUCUUCUAAUAUUAAAAUGAUGAUCUAUAAUAUAUUUUAUCUUGGAUGGAUCUCAUAAUCACUUUCUUCACAGUCAACUGAGAUGCAAACCAAAUUGGAAAACCUGAUUUUCAAUUAACCAUGCCAAAUAACCAUUCUCUGAAGAUUUAAGCCAUUAAGAGUUUGAGCCAACAUUACAUUUAAGCAUCUCUUUGAUGAUAAUAUCUGACCCAGAACUAUUCUUUUGCAAUGAAUGCUUCCAUGAUCAAAAUUUUACAUUAAAUUAUAUGUAGAUUUUUAUCCCUAUAAGCAAAAUUUAAACUGCUGUUUAAGCAAAUUGUGUGUUUGUGUGGUUACACGUGAUAUAUCCAUACUUGUGAUCAAAAUUAAAUAGGACCUAACUGUGCUCAACAAAUACCCCACGCUAUGGCAGAUGCAUGACUAUGUUUUUGUUGAAUACCAUAUAUUUUUAUCCCCAAAAAGAGAAUUUAAACUGUAGUUCAGCAAGUCCGUGUGUGUGGUAACUUAUAUUUAGAUACACUCAUACUUAGAUCAAAAGUCAUUGGGACCAUAAAGCUGAACCAUGCCCCUGCAUAAAUGCAAACACAAGCAUAAGGGGGAAAAAUACUGUUCAAGAAUCAAAUGAUCUAAAGCUGAGACCAGAUAACCUUUACAAGCCAGUGAGGACUCUCAGCACAAAACUCCAUGAAAAGGGCAAGGGCUGCAGCAGGAACAGCGGACAACCAAAAACAAAUGCGCCACCGAAAGUUUCUUUUGCUGGAAUUCCAAUAAACAGAGACCCCAUAAUUCCAAGACAAUUUGCUAUUUGUGUUAAGCUACCAUAAGUACCCCUUACAUGAGCUGGUGAAACCUCUGACACAUAGAGAGCUGCAACAGGUGGACCAAUACCUAUCCCAGUACCAACAAACAACCUUCCGAGAAGCAUACCCCACAGAUCUUUUGUUGUUGCACUCGUUGAAGCCCCAAUUAUCAUUGGCAAAGCACACAGCUGCAAAGCCCUGCGUCUCCCAACCCCAUCUGCAAUGCAGCCACUGAACAUAGAUCCAACAAAAGCACCACCUAGGCAUGUACUUACAACUAGACCUUCAGCCAUAGUAUUCCCACUAAAACUGAGGUCCAGAGAAAUACUCUCUAGUGUCUCAUUAACUACACCAAUAUGGUAGCCAAACAAGAAAGAAGAAAGCGUUGCCACCAGCACAUGCACAAAAGAAUGCCUCCAAGAAGGGUUUCCAUUAUCUUUGCCUGUUCCAUUCAGCAAAUGUACUACAAUCCACAGCAGAAAUCAGAAUAACUUUGAGUAAAUAUAAAGGAAUUACUGAAUUGGUUUAUAAAAAUUAAGUAGCUGAGUGAAAUGUUGUUUGUGUUAGUAGAUAUAUUAGCUCAUUGUUGGUCAUUUUAUGUCAUGAAGAGAAAACUAAUUUUAAUCAGAUCUUUCAAAAAAUUGAACUGAAUUUACCACUGAACCACUGAAAUGGGGAGUACCAGCCAUGGUGGAUGUGGAAACAAUAAUCCCCCUCCCUCAAAUAAGUAAACAAAAAAAGAUUGUAUUUGCACACCGACGCUUUAUUAUUAAUUAAAGCAAACCACACUUGAAUAAACACAACAAUAAUAGAAAAUCCUCAUUCCAAGCAACUUGCACAAUUCUUAUUGCUUAUUCAUAUCAAGUACACCUCCGGUAUCUUUCUAGACUGGACGGACAAAAUACACUGCCACAUCAGAUUAAAUAAUAAUUAAAAUCAAGGCUCCCCACCAAAAUGUGAUUUCCGAUAAAGCUCUGAUUGGCUUUAUUCCGCCAGAUGAGCUAAGUAAGGGAAAAAGAAACUUGCCCAUUUAGUAAAGAUCAAAAUUAUUAAGUGAUUAAGCAUAUAAAAAUUAAGCGUUAUAACGAACUUGAACACAGAGAUAUUCGAUAACACACCUGAACUUUCUUCUCUAUCAUAGGCAUUUAUGAAGUCUCUCGACGGAACACUCUUGUACCUCGAGGCAGCAAUAUCCACAUGACGCCCUCUCAUAGUAAACUUAUAAAACCCUUUUCCAAAAUUUAUCAAGUGGGUUUUUCAGCAUGCACAUAAGGAGGAGAAGAAAUCCCCAGAAAGGAGGGAGAGAAAAGCGAACAGUACUAACGUGCGCAGCAGGUGGUAGUUAUAUUACUCCGGUUUAGUAGAAAGGACGCAAAGAGAGAGAAGAGAGGUAGGAGACGCUAG